GCCCGCGCCCCGGGGAGCCCACAGGUGCAGCGCGCCCCAAGGCUGCCCGGGCGCCCCUCCGACAGCCUCCCCCGCCUCCCGGACGCAGGUCCACCUGGAUGCACCAGCCGGUGCAGUAAGAGGGAGAGGCCCCGGGACGCGGGGGAGGUCGCUGCGGGCGCCGGGAAAGGAGACGCACAGCAGGAAUUUUUUUUUUCUUUUCAAAGCAGUCAAGGAUGAAACGUCUCUUGGAAAGGAGGGAUGCAGGGGAAAUAAGAGGAAAGGAUCUUGAGAGACGGUCCCUUUUCCUCCCCCCGGCCUGGUUUCUGCCCUUGCUGUUCAUUAUAUCUGUCCUAGCUCGAAGGCAUCAACCUUCUACAUCUUCUCCAAGAUGCAGGACUGGACGUUCAGUGCCCCGCUUUCUUAAGAAUGAUCUUGAACUGCCCAAAUAGCUAUGCUGCUCUGGACCUAAAAGCAUCGGUCACCAAAGCGCUGCCCACAGAGGGUCUAGUGGAAUCAGGUAGGAGGGAUUGACUUUGCCUCUGUUAGGGUGCUCUGAAGCCUGUCCUUUUCUUUCCUGUCACUGCACUUGGCUGAAGGUAUCAAGAACCGUGGGACCAUGACUCAGGAAGAUGCAGAUUUCUAUCCCGAGAAGUCUGCAUGGAUCUGCCAGUUCCCUAAAGGUCGUCUUCUGCCCUUUUGCCUGCCACACACCCAAUCCCCCAAACCCUUGGAUUAUCUCCCCAUGCACCCCAUGUCCUUUGAAUGGCCUCAGCAAAGCAUCAACAAAUAUCCAUUAUGAUGCAAUAUAUGUUUAUGAGGUUUAUGCCAUUUAAUGUCUACCAUGGAGGACCUUAUGUUUAGUAUCCCCAGGAAGAAGACAGGAAACCGAAGCUCAAGAACCUCUCCCAGAGCUGACAGCAAGUGACAUGAAGUUUGGACAUCAGGGAAAGCCUCAGUGACAGCAGAAUCCCAGUAGCUUUUCAAACACAUCACUCACCCCCACAAUUCCUCCCAGUAUUUCCCCCAGGUUGAUCUGAGUGAUCAAAAAGUAUCUGAAAACCAAGUGAAAGGGGAGGGGGGACGAUUUGAAGAUCAGAGGGAAGCAGGAACUGCUAGAACGUCCACAGGGUCCAGUGCAAAAUAAAAUAU